AGAUAUGAUGCUGCAGCCAAGGAUGACUUGCCGAGAAGUUCUUUCUCUAAUUUAACUUUCAUUUCAUUUUAGUCAAUUUAUAGUGCACUAGUGCUGAUAUAUGUUAUGCACUAGAGCACAAUAAUGAAGGGUCUUUAGGGAUAUGGUAAAUUCGGCAACUCAUCUUUGGCUACAUGUCUAUCUCA
rfam:Cajanus cajan Scaffold129700_8, whole genome shotgun sequence.